AAGGAGAGAAGACAUAAAAAAGGACUGGAAAAUACAAAAGCAUGAAGACCCGCACGGCCUGUGCAGCAGCACACGGCCCGUGCAGGAUGGAUGCUCCCCUCCCAUACAAAAAACAGGGAGUUUGCACGGCCGGCCGUGCAGGUUGGCACGGCCCGUGCAAUAAGGUCUGAAGCAGAAUUAUUUUUGAAGAAAAUCUGGGAGCUGCACGGCCUGUGCAGGAUUGGCACGGCCCGUGCAGAGUGCGCGAACAGAAUUCCAUAUUUUGUGUUUUCUUAUGCUUUUUGGAUCCGGAGGGGCAUUGUUGGUAUUUUGGUUUGGGGAUUUUACCUAGACUAUUUAAAUUGAGGAAAGAGAAGGAGAAAAGGACUUUUUGCAAAAUUGGGAAAGAAGAUUACACUGAAGAAGAUUGAAGAAACAAGAGAAUUCACGACGGGGAGAUUCAAGGUGACCAACCAUUGAAGAUCAUCGUUUGAAAACUCAUUGUAAUGUCUAAUUUCUUGAACAUGUCUAUUUUCUACAAUAUGAGAGGCUAAAUCCUCCAAUGUUAGGGAGGUGUCAAUGAUGUGUUAGGGUUUAAGAAUAUUGAUCUCUUUGUUUUGAAUUCAACGUUUGAAUAUUUUUGCAUCAA